rnacentral:rRNA from 1 species
UACGUAGGGGGCAAGCGUUGUCCGGAAUUAUUGGGCGGAAAGAGCUCGUAGGCGGUUUGUCGCGUCGAAUGUGAAAACCCGGGGCUCAACCCCGGGCCUGCAUUCGAUACAGGCAGACUAGAGUUCGGUAGGGGAGUCUGGAAUUCCUGGUGUAGCGGUGAAAUGCGCAGAUAUCAGGAGGAACACCGGUGGCGAAGGCGGGACUCUGGGCCGAUACUGACGCUGAGGAGCGAAAGCGUGGGGAGCAAAUAGG